UCGGUGCGGGAUGGAGGGACGACUUGGGAGGACGUCUGAGCUGCACGUCUACUAGCGGCUGGGAUCCAGGGAUAUGGCGGCCACCUAUGUGCUGUCGGUGCUGCUGGUGGCGACUGAGCGGACCCGGCGGCAGCGUGUCCCGAGCCCGCUGCCGCUGCUGCGCCCGAGAUCCAAAAGGUAAAUCUGGCUCUUGAAUACUGUCUGGGAACAACUUGUCAUGCCUGCUUUGUGGAAUUGGUGUUCAAAAAUGAAAUGCAAAAAUGCAGACUGUCCCAGCACAUACUGGUUAUUGGUACUCCAGGGAGAACAGGAGACUUUAAAUAGAGGAUAUCUUUGUUGUGCUGCUUUCUGCCUGAUGCCAGUCGAUCUGUUGCAAGUCAUCAGUUCAUGAGAUCCAUUUCAAAUUCUGGUGAAGAAGGAAGAAUUGACCCUUGAAAGGUUCAACAUUUUAUAAUAAUUUUGAAAGAGGAGUUGGCAGGAGGAGGAACAUUGGGAGGAAAACUGUGGCCAUAAGUAUUGAAGAAGACGAGCGUUCUUCACGACACUCAGACUUUCCACCACACUGUAGUGGAGGAAAUUUUUUUAAAUUAAAUUUAUUGGAGUGACAUUGGUUAA